rnacentral:rRNA from 1 species
AUUGAACGCUAGCGGGAUGCCUUACACAUGCAAGUCGAACGGAGUGGCGAACGGGUGGGUAAUGUAUCCGGACGUGCCCCGUAGCGGGGGAUAACUACGCGAAAGCGUAGCUAAUACCGCAUACUCUGGGAGCGGCCGAUAUCGGAUUAGCUAGUGGGUGGGGUAACGGCUCACCAAGGCGACGAUCCUUAGCUGGUUUGAGAGGACGACCAGCCACACUGGGACGGAGACACGGCCCAGACUCCACCGGGAGGCAGCAGUGGGGAAUUUUGGACAAUGGGGGAAACCCUGAUCCAGCCAUCCCGCGUGUGCGAUGAAGGCCUUCGGGUUGUAAAGCACUUUUGGCAGGAAAGAGGUACCUGCAGAAUAAGCACCGGCUAACUACGUGCCAGCAGCCGCGGUAAUAC